UACGAAGGGAGCUAGCGUUGUUCGGAAUUACUGGGCGUAAAGGGCUCGUAGGUGGCCAAUUAAGUCAGACGUGAAAUCCCCAGGCUCAACUUGGGAACUGCGUCUGAUACUGGUUGGCUUGAAUUCGGGAGAGGGAUGCAGAAUUCCAGGUGUAGCGGUGAAAUGCGUAGAUAUCUGGAGGAAUACCGGUGGCGAAGGCGGCAUCCUGGACAAUUCCUGACACUGAGGCACGAAAGCUAGGGGAGCAAACAGG
rnacentral:rRNA from 1 species